AUUGAACGCUGGCGGCAUGCCUUACACAUGCAAGUCGAACGGCAGCGGGGACUUCGGUCCGCCGGCGAGUGGCGAACGGGUGAGUAAUGUAUCGGAACGUACCAUUGAGUGGGGGAUAACGUAGCGAAAGUUACGCUAAUACCGCAUAUUCUCUCCGGAGGAAAGCAGGGGACCGCAAGGCCUUGCGCUCUUUGAGCGGCCGAUAUCAGAUUAGCUAGUUGGUGAGGUAAAGGCUCACCAAGGCGACGAUCUGUAGCGGGUCUGAGAGGAUGAUCCGCCACACUGGAACUGAGACACGGUCCAGACUCCUACGGGAGGCAGCAGUGGGGAAUUUUGGACAAUGGGGGCAACCCUGAUCCAGCCAUGCCGCGUGAGUGAAGAAGGCCUUCGGGUUGUAAAGCUCUUUCGGCCGGGAAAAAAUCGCAUGGGCUAAUACCCUGUGUGGAUGAUGGUACCGGAAUAAGAAGCACCGGCUAACUACGUGCCAGCAGCCGCCGUAA
rnacentral:rRNA from 1 species